UACAGAGGGUGCGAGCGUUAAUCGGAAUUACUGGGCGUAAAGCGCGCGUAGGCGGCUUUUCAAGUCGAUUGUGAAAUCCCCGGGCUUAACCUGGGAACUGCAGUCGAGACUGUCUAGCUAGAGUAUGGGAGAGGGAAGUGGAAUUUCAGGUGUAGCGGUGAAAUGCGUAGAUAUCUGAAGGAACACCGGUGGCGAAGGCGGCAUCCUGGACCAACACUGACACUGAUGAGCGAAAGCCAGGGGAGCAAACGGG
rnacentral:rRNA from 1 species